rnacentral:rRNA from 1 species
GUAGGGAAUCUUCCACAAUGGACGCAAGUCUGAUGGAGCAACGCCGCGUGAGUGAUGAAGGCUUUCGGGUCGUAAAACUCUGUUGUUGGAGAAGAACGUGUGUGAGAGUAACUGCUCAUGCAGUGACGGUAUCCAACCAGAAAGCCACGGCUAACUACGUGCCAGCAGCCGCGGUAAUACGUAGGUGGCAAGCGUUAUCCGGAUUUAUUGGGCGUAAAGCGAGCGCAGGCGGUCUUUUAAGUCUAAUGUGAAAGCCUUCGGCUUAACCGAAGAAGUGCAUUGGAAACUGGGAGACUUGAGUGCAGAAGAGGAGAGUGGAACUCCAUGUGUAGCGGUGAAAUGCGUAGAUAUAUGGAAGAACACCAGUGGCGAAGGCGGCUCUCUGGUCUGCAACUGACGCUGAGGCUCGAAAGCAUGGGUAGCGAACAGGAUUAGAAACCCUAGUAGUCC